rnacentral:rRNA from 1 species
GGGACAUUCCACGUUUUCCGCGCCGUAGCUAACGCAUUAAGUGCCCCGCCUGGGGAGUACGUCCGCAAGGCUAAAACUCAAAGGAAUUGACGGGGGCCCGCACAAGCGGCGGAGCAUGCGGAUUAAUUCGAUGCUACGCGAAGAACCUUACCAAGGCUUGACAUACACCGGAUCGGCUCAGAGAUGGGUUUUCCUCCUUGUGGGGCUGGUGUACAGGUGGUGCAUGGUUGUCGUCAGCUCGUGUCGUGAGAUGUUGGGUUAAGUCCCGCAACGAGCGCAACCCUCGUUCUAUGUUGCCAGCACGUGAUGGUGGGGACUCAUAGGAGACUGCCGGGGUCAACUCGGAGGAAGGUGGGGAUGACGUCAAAUCAUCAUGCCCCUUAUGUCUUGGGCUUCACGCAUGCUACAAUGGCCAGUACAAUGGGUUGCGAUACCGUGAGGUGGAGCUAAUCCCAAAAAGCUGGUCUCAGUUCGGAUCGUGGUCUGCAACUCGACCACGUGGAGUCGGAGUCGCUAGUAAUCGCAGAUCAGCAACGCUGCGGUGAUAC